ACAGACCUGUAUAGAUAUUCUAUAUAGACAGAAUAGACAGGGUGCUUUGCACACACCUCCCCAUCAUGGUCACCAUAGCCAGCCGGCCCAGGCAGAUAGAGUCUCACUCAUCUGGGUCACUGGGCCAAGCACAGGUCCCAGGUCUCCUGACGGUGGGAUAGAAAGUGCUGGGAACCAUCACGUGAGGGCUGCCUAUGAGAGGGGGCCCCGUGCUCACCCAGGACACCCACCAGAGCAGCAAGCAAGACCAGCUCAGGGCAGAGAGCACGCCUGGCGCCUGUGUACCUGGAAAGCUCCCACAAACCCUGAGUCCUGCAGAAUGACUGAGCACUCAGCCAGACAAGUAACAAGGACUCGCACAGGAAUGCAGCAAAAGCAUCGUUUGCUUGGUGGGGGGAACAGCAGACCUGGCAUCGGCAACAGGAGGCACUAAGUCCACUCACAGCUUUACAAGACUUCAGUAAAGACAGAGACGAGAAGCAUUCGUACAAGGCGAGAAAACACUGAGGACAAAAACUCCCCCAACUAAUCACACAUAAUGUUGUCCCAACUCAAACCCACAGGUUUUAAACAGUAACUUAACAAAAUGAUUCCAAAGUCCAUAUGAAGAGGUGAGAGCAGCCAGUGAUACUCCAAAUUUCCUAAGACGAGUCCUAUGAAAAUGAACUAUUCUAACUAGAGCAGUCAGAACAAGAACAGAAAGAGAGAUGAAGAAAAUAAAAUACAGCCCCGGGAAAGCCCCAGUGGCAUCUGACACAACAGCGGAAGUCAGGGAUUGUGGAACAGGUUGGGGCAGAGGACAAAAUGUCACAGGACUGCAGAUUAAAAUUUCAGCUGGGUCACCUCUUUUUUAAAAAUAAAUUUCCAUUAGCCGGGUGUGGUGGCAUGCGCAGUGGUCCCAGCUACCCAGGAGGCUGAGGUAAGAGGAUCACUUGAGCCGGGGAGGAGGAGGCUGUAGUGAGCUAUGAUUGUGCCACUGCACUCCAGCCUGGACAACAGAGCAAGACCCUGUCUCAAAAAAAAAAAAAAAAAAAAAAAAAAAUCCCCUAUUUCAAAAGCAACACAUACAUAGUCACUGAAGACAAUUUGGAAAAAGGAAACCUAAAGCUCACUGGUAAUCCCACCACUCAGAGACCACAGCGCAGUCAAUAUGCUGGCAGACAUGGUUUCCGUCUGCUGUC